rnacentral:lncRNA from 1 species
AGGAGACUGAUUGGAAUGAAAAGGCAAUAUUAAUAUGCAUUGCCAUUAUCAGAGUCUAUCCCAGAGCCUGGUGUGAGUGACGAUGCAACAACAAUUUUGGGUGAUUAAUGAACAAAUUCACAGAUAUCCAGUUCCAUGCAUAAGGCCUAUACCUAUUUCCAAGGCACUCACAGUCUAUUGCAAGAAACAGACAAAUAAGAAUAUGAAAUCAAUACUGACUGUAUGUCUCUAGCCAGGGUAGUAAUGAAAAUGUGAUCACAACAGAAUGGAAAAAUCAAUGAAAGAACAGCUGAAACUGUAAUGAAAGAGACAAUAUAUCUUUUCAAUAAAUUAUGGGAGAAAGACAAAUUAAUAA